AAUCAACGCUGGACGGCGUGCCUAACACAUGCAAGUCGAACGAGAAAGUCCCCGCAAGGGGGAUGAGUACAGUGGCGACCGGGUGAGUAACACGUGACUAACCUACCCUGAAGCGGGGAAUAACCUCGGGAAACCGGGGCUAAUACCGCAUACCUUCCAGAGGGGAAGCUCCUGUGGAGGAAACGAGCAAUCGGCUUUUAGGAGGGGGUCGCGCCCGAUUACGGUAGUUGGCGGGGUAAUGGCCCACCAAGCCUUUGANCGGUAGCCGGCCUGAGAGGGCGCACGGCCACACUGGAACUGAAACACGGUCCAGA
rnacentral:rRNA from 1 species